rnacentral:rRNA from 1 species
CAGUCGCCGCGGGAAUACGGAGGGUGCAAGCGUUAAUCGGAAUUACUGGGCGUAAAGCGCACGCAGGCGGUUUGUUAAGUCAGAUGUGAAAUCCCCGAGCUUAACUUGGGAACUGCAUUUGAAACUGGCAAGCUAGAGUCUUGUAGAGGGGGGUAGAAUUCCAGGUGUAGCGGUGAAAUGCGUAGAGAUCUGGAGGAAUACCGGUGGCGAAGGCGGCCCCCUGGACAAAGACUGACGCUCAGGUGCGAAAGCGUGGGGAGCAAACAGGAUUAGAUACCUGCUAGUCCCUGUCUCUUAUACA